AAAGUGGCGAACGGCUGAGUAACACGUGGGCAACCUGCCCUUUGCACUGGGAUAGCCUCGGGAAACCGAGGUUAAUACCGGAUACUCCAUAUUUGUCGCAUGGCGAAUAUGGGAAAAGCUCCGGCGGCAAAGGAUGGGCCCGCGGCCUGUUAGCUAGUUGGUGGGGUAGUGGCCUACCAAGGCAAUGAUGGGUAGCCGGGUUGAGAGACCGACCGGCCAGAUUGGGACUGAGACACGGCCCAGACUCCUACGGGAGGCAGCAGGC
rnacentral:rRNA from 1 species